rnacentral:rRNA from 1 species
GAUGAACGCUGGCGGCGUGCUUAACACAUGCAAGUCGAACGGAAAGGCUCCUGCUUGCAGGGGUACUCGAGUGGCGAACGGGUGAGUAACACGUGGGUGAUCUGCCCUGCACUUCGGGAUAAGCCUGGGAAACUGGGUCUAAUACCGGAUAGGAGGAUGGUUUGGAUGCAAUUGUGGAAAGUUAUUCGGUGUGGGAGGGGCUCGCGGCCUAUCAGCUUGUUGGUGGGGGAAUGGCCUACCAAGGCGUCGACGGGCAGGCGACCUGAGAGGGUGGACGGCCCCCUUGGGCCUGAGGUACGCCCCAGCCGCGAACUGGAGGCAGCGGUCGGGAAUAUUACACAGUGGGCGCGCGCCCGAUGCGACGGCGCUGCGUUGGGGAUGACGGCCUUCGGGUUGUAAACUCCUUUCGCCUGAGACGGAGCGCAAGUGACGGUACCUGGAGAAGAAGCACCGGCUAACUACGUG